rnacentral:misc_RNA from 1 species
GAUGAAGAACGCAGCGAAAUGCGAUAAGUAAUGUGAAUUGCAGAAUUCAGUGAAUCAUCGAAUCUUUGAACGCACAUUGCGCCCGCCAGUAUUCUGGCGGGCAUGCCUGUCCGAGUGUCAUUUCAACCCUCGAACCCCUCCGGGGGGUCGGCGUUGGGGAUCGGCCCUGCCUCUUGGCGGUGGCCGUCUCCGAAAUACAGUGGCGGUCUCGCCGCAGCCUCUCCUGCGCAGUAGUUUGCACACUCGCAUCGGGAGCGCGGCGCGUCCACAGCCGUUAAACACCCAACUUCUGAAAUGUUGACCUCGGAUCAGGUAGGAAUACCCGCUGAACUUAAGCAUAUCAAUAAGCGGAGGA